CACCGUCCCGUACCUCAUGGCGUAGAGCUGGUUCAAUCCGCACGGCUCGAACCUGGAGGGCAUGAGGAGGAUGUCGCAGCCGGCGGUGAUGCGGUGCGCCAUCUCGACGCUGAACCCGACCCAGCACCUGCACUUGUCCUUGUGGUCGUUCUCCAUGCUUCGCAGCGACUGCUCCAGGUCCUCGCGGCCCGAGCCGAGCAUCACGAGCUGCACAUCCUGGCCCAUGAGCCAGUGCCUGGCGUCCGUGAUGAGGUCCACGCCCUUCUGGUGGUCCAACCGGCCGAUGAACCCGAGCAGCGGCACGUCGUCC
rnacentral:lncRNA from 1 species